rnacentral:rRNA from 1 species
GCCUCACACAUGCAAGUCGAGCGGUAGAGAGAAGCUUGCUUCUCUUGAGAGCGGCGGACGGGUGAGUAAUGCCUAGGAAUCUGCCUGGUAGUGGGGGAUAACGUUCGGAAACGGACGCUAAUACCGCAUACGUCCUACGGGAGAAAGCAGGGGACCUUCGGGCCUUGCGCUAUCAGAUGAGCCUAGGUCGGAUUAGCUAGUUGGUGGGGUAAUGGCUCACCAAGGCGACGAUCCGUAACUGGUCUGAGAGGAUGAUCAGUCACACUGGAACUGAGACACGGUCCAGACUCCUACGGGAGGCAGCAGUGGGGAAUAUUGGACAAUGGGCGAAAGCCUGAUCCAGCCAUGCCGCGUGUGUGAAGAAGGUCUUCGGAUUGUAAAGCACUUUAAGUUGGGAGGAAGGGUUGUAGAUUAAUACUCUGCAAUUUUGACGUUACCGACAGAAUAAGCACCGGCUAACUCUGUGCCAGCAGCCGCGGUAAUACAGAGGGUGCAAGCGUUAAUCGGAAUUACUGGGCGUAAAGCGCGCGUAGGUGGUUAGUUAA